UACGUAGGCAGCAAGCGUUGUUCGGAGUUACUGGGCGUAAAGGGUGUGUAGGCGGUUUUUUUAAGUUUGGUGUGAAAUCUCCCGGCUCAACUGGGAGGGUGCGGCGGAAACUGGAAUGCUAGAGGGUGGGAGAGGUAAGCGGAAUUCCUGGUGUAGCGGUGAAAUGCGCAGAUAUCAGGAGGAACACCGAUGGCGAAGGCAGUGUUCUGGGCCAGUACUGACGCUGAGGAGCGAAAGCGUGGGGAGCAAACAGG
rnacentral:rRNA from 1 species